UACAGAGGUCUCAAGCGUUGUUCGGAUUCAUUGGGCGUAAAGGGUGCGUAGGCGGCGCAGUAAGUCGGAUGUGAAAUCUCGGGGCUUAACUCCGAAACUGCAUUCGAUACUGCCGUGCUUGAGGACUGGAGAGGAGACUGGAAUUUACGGUGUAGCGGUGAAAUGCGUAGAUAUCGUAAGGAAGACCAGUGGCGAAGGCGGGUCUCUGGACAGUUCCUGACGCUGAGGCACGAAGGCCAGGGGAGCAAACGGG
rnacentral:rRNA from 1 species